rnacentral:lncRNA from 1 species
AAGGUGAAUGUUAACAAAGCUUCCAAAUUGUUAGUGUUUCAAGAUGGUUGUAAUCUUCAAAAACUAGGGUAUCAUCCAUUUUUGGUUGGUUAGAAGCUUUUAAAUGUUUGCCUCAAUUAAGUUAGGACAUUAUUAGUAGAAGAAGAUUAUAUCUGUUUGUUUAGGAUAGUAUCUUGCAUGUUAGUGAAGCAGACUUUGGUGAGUUGCAUAAUCAUAAUACACCCUUUCUACAAAUGGAAGAUGCAUAAGGACAUACCCUGCCACAAACAUUAGAUGUGCAAUUGACUCUCUCCUUUUGAUUUAUCUUGGAUGAAACUGGAUGUUGUCCAUGACACCACUUGACAGAUGUUAAUGUUAUUGCUGGUAUAUACAUGGCAGAUAAUCUGAUAUUUAAGAUGUGGUGUGCAAAUGUUCAACAUGACCGUAAAACUUUAAAUCAGAGAAACCCUAGUGGUGGAUGUUAUAAAUUAAAGGUCUAGCCUUUCAUUGGUCACUUUCUGGAGUAAGAUCUAAUUGGAGGAUGCUAUGGAAGCAUAUAGAACAAAAACGUCAGUUUCCUCUUUUGUCCUUUUAAGGGGAAAUGAUGUAACUUCCUAUUUUUUGUCGUCUACCGGAGUAUAUUGCUAGCUUAGCCUAUUAUAUACUUUUCACCUGCGCUGAGGUUUUCAAGUGCUGCUCAUUGUUGCUUAUUGAUACCACAUUGUCUUUUGCUCUAUUAGGAAUGGAGUUAUCUGCGUGGAGGACUGACAACGCUCGAUCGGGAUUAUGGAUUGAUCAACAAUAUCCAUCAUGACAUUGGAACUCAUGUCAUCCAUCACCUUUUCCCUCAAAUCCCGCAUUACCAUCUCAUUGAGGCGGUAAGAGUCUGCCCCACCCUAUUCUUGCUUCCCUUUCUUAAGUUUCUUUCACUAGACCAUAAGUCAUGUUGUUUUUGGAUCACCUGCAGACUGAGGCAGCAAAGCCAGUGCUUGGCAAAUACUACAAAGAACCAAAGAAGUCGGGUCCUCUCCCGUUGCAUCUAUUUGGGGUGCUAGCGGAAAGCUUAAAGCAAGAUCACUAUGUUAGCGAUACCGGAGAUGUACUCUACUAUCAAACUGACAAGAAAAUGACAUAAACCAUAGCAAGUAGCGAAUUCUUCAUUCUUCUCAGGGGGGCUGUGCCUGAAGACUUGACCACCUUCCUGGGAUUUCUGAUUGGUGUGCCUGAGUCCAUUGAUAUGUCGAUUCAAGAAUGUAAGUUGGCAAAGUAUUAUCAUGUAAAAGGGGGUAAAUGUAGUUCUUUCCAAUGAUGGAAAACGGAGGCCGCCUCCGAUGUAACAAACAUGCAAUUCUUUGGACAAGAGGUAUAUUUUAUAGUAAAGAGCGAAAAAAGAGCUUAGUUACCUGAAGGCUUUCUGAGUUUCUGUAUAUACUCCCACUUAUGUACAAGGGCUACUGUGCCUAGCUUCAGCUGUCCUGAGUGCGACACGAGCCUGAUCAUAUAAUAGCGAGGCGCCUUCUUUGGC